CAUAGGUUAAUGAGGCGAACCGGGGGAACUGAAACAUCUAAGUACCCCGAGGAAAAGAAAUCAACCGAGAUUCCCCCAGUAGCGGCGAGCGAACGGGGAGGAGCCCAGAGCCUGAAUCAGUGUGUGUGUUAGUGGAAGCGUCUGGAAAGGCGCGCGAUACAGGGUGACAGCCCCGUACACAAAAAUGCACAUAUUGUGAGCUCGAUGAGUAGGGCGGGACACGUGGUAUCCUGUCUGAAUAUGGGGGGACCAUCCUCCAAGGCUAAAUACUCCUGACUGACCGAUAGUGAACCAGUACCGUGAGGGAAAGGCGAAAAGAACCCCGGCGAGGGGAGUGAAAAAGAACCUGAAACCGUGUACGUACAAGCAGUGGGAGCCUCUUAAUGGGGUGACUGCGUACCUUUUGUAUAAUGGGUCAGCGACUUAUAUUCUGUAGCAAGGUUAACCGAAUAGGGGAGCCGAAGGGAAACCGAGUCUUAACUGGGCGUUAAGUUGCAGGGUAUAGACCCGAAACCCGGUGAUCUAGCCAUGGGCAGGUUGAAGGUUGGGUAACACUAACUGGAGGACCGAACCGACUAAUGUUGAAAAAUUAGCGGAUGACUUGUGGCUGGGGGUGAAAGGCCAAUCAAACCGGGAGAUAGCUGGUUCUCCCCGAAAGCUAUUUAGGUAGCGCCUCGUGAAUUCAUCUCCGGGGGUAGAGCACUGUUUCGGCAAGGGGGUCAUCCCGACUUACCAACCCGAUGCAAACUGCGAAUACCGGAGAAU
rnacentral:rRNA from 1 species